rnacentral:tRNA from 1 species
GAGGGUGUAGCUCAGUGGUAGAGUGUGCUUAGCAAGCACGAGGUCCUGGAUUCAAUACCCAGGACCUCCA